rnacentral:rRNA from 1 species
UACGUAGGGGGCAAGCGUUGUCCGGAAUCAUUGGGCGUAAAGAGCGUGUAGGCGGCUCGGUAAGUCCGCUGUGAAAGUCCAGGGCUCAACCCUGGAAUGCCGGUGGAAACUGUCGAGCUAGAGUCCGGAAGAGGCGAGUGGAAUUCCUGGUGUAGCGGUGAAAUGCGCAGAUAUCAGGAGGAACACCAAUGGCGAAGGCAGCGCGCUGGGACGGUACUGACGCUGAGACGCGAAAGCGUGGGGAGCGAACAGG